UACGGGGGGGGCAAGCGUUGUUCGGAAUUACUGGGCGUAAAGGGCUCGUAGGUGGCCAACUAAGUCAGACGUGAAAUCCCUCGGCUUAACCGGGGAACUGCGUCUGAUACUGGAUGGCUUGAGUUCGGGAGAGGGUAGUGGAAUUCCCGGUGUAGUGGUGAAAUGCGUAGAUAUCGGGAGGAACACCAGUGGCGAAGGCGGACUCUCGAGCCGUAGUUGUACGCUGAGGCGCGAAAGCCAGGGAGGCAAAC
rnacentral:rRNA from 1 species